rnacentral:rRNA from 1 species
GACGAACGCUGGCGGCGUGCUUAACACAUGCAAGUCGAACGAUGAAGCUGGAGCUUGCUCCGGUGGAUUAGUGGCGAACGGGUGAGUAACACGUGAGCAAUCUGCCCUUGACUCUGGGCUAACUGCGGGAAACUGUAGCUAAUACCGGAUACUUUCACUGGAAGGCAUCUUCUGGUGAAGAAAGAAUUUCGGUCAUGGAUGAGCUCGCGGCCUAUCAGCUUGUUGGUGAGGUAACGGCUCACCAAGGCGACGACGGGUAGCCGGCCUGAGAGGGUGCCCGGCCACACUGGGACUGAGACACGGCCCAGACUCCUACGGGAGGCAGCAGUGGGGAAUAUUGCACAAUGGGCGCAAGCCUGAUGCAGCAACGCCGCGUGAGGGAUGAAGGCCUUCGGGUUGUAAACCUCUUUUAGCAGGGAAGAAGCGAAAGUGACGGUACCUGCAGAAAAAGCACCGGCUAACUACGUGCCAGCCGCCGCCGUAA